CACGUAGGGGGCGAGCGUUGUCCGGAAUUAUUGGGCGUAAAGAGCUCGUAGGCGGUGUGUCGCGUCGGCCGUGAAAACUUGGGGCUUAACUCUGAGCGUGCGGUCGAUACGGGCAUCACUUGAGUUCGGCAGGGGAGACUGGAAUUCCUGGUGUAGCGGUGGAAUGCGCAGAUAUCAGGAGGAACACCGGUGGCGAAGGCGGGUCUCUGGGCAGUAACUGACGCUGAGGAGCGAAAGCGUGGGGAGCGAACAGG
rnacentral:rRNA from 1 species